rnacentral:lncRNA from 1 species
CUGCAUGCUCCACUCAAACGGACCCAUACGAAGCAGCCUACAAUAUGCAGCCUGCUACUGUGACUACUGUAGUAAGAACGCAGCCAAAUGACCACUUCUGUUUGGCUUUCUUUGUUACACUGUGUUGCUGUUUUCCAUUUGGAAUUAUCGGAAUGGGGUACAGCCAAGCUAGUUCAAAAAAAUUUAACGAGGGAGACGAUGUCGGAGCCGUGAAAGAUGCUGACAGAGCGAGAAAAUGGUCACUUUCUGGGCUAUGUAUUGCUGUGACAGGGAUUUUCAUAUAUAUAGAUGUGAAGAUUGUGGAAGCUGUAUGGUUAUGAGCUUCCAAGAGCGAAUCCCUGGCCACAAGGAAAAGGAGUGCUGAGGAAGAUGAGCAAAGCAGCUCCACCCCAGCAAUCUACUGCAGAGCCUUGGUAUCUCUUGCAGAAUACACACAUACACAAUUAAUAAGCCUUAACUUAAACGACCUAAUUCCUGAUUUUAAAUCAGAAAAACUGUCUUAUGUGGAGUACAGGUAUAACAACACGAACAUGCACUAGACUCAAAGUGGUUUUCUACGAUAAUGUCCAGUGACCGACAUCUGUUUCGUAGUUUUUAAACAUGAUAAAAUCAAAUGAUCUUUAAGUUUAUAAUGGGAGCAAAUGUCACAUCUUUAGGUCAUACGUCCAAAAUCUCUUUCAGCAUGCAAUAUUGCUUGCAUUUGCAUUUUUUGUUCAAAAAUAGGUUCAGAAAGACUGAUGCUUUGUAUUAGGCCUAAGUAUAUUUUAGCUCUACAUUUUGCCUUCUUAUGCUUUAUGCAUGUGUAUUAUAUACUUUAAAGUGUUCUUUCAAAAUUAAUAAUAAAAAAAAACUUGAAUUAUGAAUGUUCAGUAGCACGUACACGUCGCAUAACAUAUAUGGGCUCUCAUUGGCCGAAGCAGGGCCCAGAACUUAAGGGGCCCGGGAUGCGCGCGCCCGGGAUAGCCAUCAGCAUUUUUAAUUUUGCUCCAAAUCAUCCGAACAGGGCCUUCGAAGAGCAGAGCAUGUAAAAAACAUCAAAAUAUGCCCUUAAAAUAAAAAAAAACAAACAAAAUAACAGAAGUUUACCCCGUCCCCACUGAACUCUCUACUUGGACACACCCCAGGGUAGUGUGUCCUACGAUUUCUUAACCAGCCGCUGGUUACGCAAUUUUUGACGUGAUGGUCCAUCCAUCAUUCAUUUUUGGAUGUAGACCACUUCCUGGCAGUGCCAUCUUCUUUAUUCUUAUUAUUCUAUAAUCUUAGGCCUAUAUAGUUGUGCUAAUGGUUAUUAAUAUUAAUUGAUAAAAAGCGCACUUUCACAUUCGACACAAUUUCAACUUCCUAGACCAAAAGUUACUCCAUACAAUAUCGUAAAUAAAUUGUUCAAAUGUUAACCCAAAUUCUUUGUUUAUUCAGUAGGUUUCAUAGGUACCGUUUCAUGAUGUACAGGUAUAUAUAAAAUAAGAAAAAUGGCUUAUCUUUCAAUUUAUGUUUCAAGUCACACACAAUGAACUCUCACCUUGAAAAUUCCCAUUCACAAACUAUGGUUAUCGCACCUGAAAUGAUAUGGAGAAUACAAACAUAUAUUACUAAUGAGUAUCCUGGGCCCUGCUUCAGCCAAUGAGAGUUCCCUGACGAUACCGUUAUUAGAAAUAAGAAAUAACUCGCUUCUUCAAAGUUGCACAACAUUGGUUUAUUAUACAUUAAAUGCAUUUAAAAAAAAUAUUAUUUAUAUAUCGUUUAUUCUAAUGAAUAUUCUACUGGGUUACUCUCAGGGUAGCGGGUGACUUUUAUCAGGGAACAGUCAAAUUACUUCACUGGGUCACAUGCAUAUGAUAUUGUAGAAGGAAUGUUGGUAAAUGCGCGGCCCGAUCCGUAUCGAUCAGUGUAUGUACAACAUCGUUGGUUUUAGCCUACUUUAUUUACGUUCAAGUUUAAAAACAAGUUUGACUUUCAAGCAUUAUGCAUAUACUGGUUUUGCGACAGCUAUUAUUUAUAUAAUUAAUGAAUGGUAUCUAGUCAUUAUAGGGCUUAUAUAAUAAAAUGUAAAAGCAGUUA